rnacentral:rRNA from 1 species
AGGAUGAACGCUGGCGGCGUGCCUAAAACAUGCAAGUCAUACGGGCUACCUUCGGGUAGCCAGUGGCAAACGGGUGAGUAACACGUGGGGACGCGCCUUGGGGUGGGGAAUAACGCCGAGAAAUCAGUGCUAAUACCGCAUAUGGUCUAACGACUAAAGCAGCAAUGCGCCCCGAGAGCGGCCCGCGACCGAUUAGCUAGUUGGUGGGGUAAUGGCCUACCAAGGCGGUGAUCGGUAGCUGGUCUGAGAGGAUGGUCAGCCACACUGGGACUGCGAACGGCCCAGACUCCUACGGGAGGCAGCAGUUAGGAAUUUUCGGCAAUGGACGAAAGUCUGACCGAGCGACGCCGCGUGGAGGAUGACGCCUUUCGGGGUGUAAACUCCUUUUCUGCGGGAAGAUAAUGACGGUACCGCAGGAAUAAGCACCGGCUAACUACGUGCCAGCAGCCGU